rnacentral:lncRNA from 1 species
UCAUGGUUUGCUUGAUGGUUAAGUCAAGUCUGAUGCACACCGCUCAGUGCACCCACUUCACUGCUAAGCUACUUGUUCAGCAGCUUCUGACCGUGUUGACUGGACGUGGCUUGGUGCUUGCUGAUCUGGUCAGGAGUCUGGUUCUCCACUGAGCUGCUUGGUUGGACCGCUGAGCUACUUGUUCAACAACUUGGUCUUGUACCAAGCUCGUGCCUCACUGUGUCAAGCAGAUUUCUGACUGUGCCAGGUCUAGUCUGGUGCUAGGCUGAGCGGCUAAGCAAGUCCGCUCAGCUGUCUGGUUGAGUAGUUUAGUCCAGGUCAGGCUGGUGUCCAGGUCAAGCUGGUGUCCAGGUCAGCUCAACUGGACUUGUUCCACGCUCAGCUGCCUGGUUGAGCACCUUGAUU